rnacentral:rRNA from 1 species
GAAAUGCGAUGUGUGGAACUAAGCGUGCGACAAGUAGGGCGGGACACGAGAAAUCCUGUCUGAAUAUGGGGGGACCAUCCUCCAAGGCUAAAUACUCGUAAUCGACCGAUAGUGAACCAGUACCGUGAGGGAAAGGCGAAAAGAACCCCGGGAGGGGAGUGAAAUAGAUCCUGAAACCGUGUGCAUACAAACAGUAGGAGCGGACUUGUUCCGUGACUGCGUACCUUUUGUAUAAUGGGUCAGCGACUUACAUUCAGUGGCAAGGUUAACCAUAUAGGGAAGCCGUAGAGAAAUCGAGUCCGAAUAGGGCGAUAGUCGCUGGGUGUAGACCCGAAACCAAGUGAUCUACUCAUGGCCAGGAUGAAGGUGCGGUAACACGCACUGGAGGUCCGAACCCACUAAUGUUGAAAAAUUAGGGGAUGAGCUGUGGGUAGGGGUGAAAGGCUAAACAAACUUGGAAAUAGCUGGUUCUCUCCGAAAACUAUUUAGGUAGUGCCUCAAGUAUCACCAUCGGGGGUAGAGCACUGUUAUGGCUAGGGGGUCAUCGCGACUUACCAAACCAUUGCAAACUCCGAAUACCGAUGAGUGCGAGCUUGGGAGACAGACGUCGGGUGCUAACGUCCGGCGUCAAGAGGGAAACAACCCAGACCGCCAGCUAAGGUCCCAAAGAUUGGCUAAGUGGAAAACGAAGUGGGAAGGCUAAAACAGUCAGGAUGUUGGCUUAGAAGCAGCCAUCAUUUAAAGAAAGCGUAAUAGCUCACUGAUCGAGUCGUCCUGCGCGGAAGAUGUAACGGGGCUAAGCCAGUCACCGAAGCUGCGGAUAUGCGUAAGCAUAUGGUAGGAGAGCGUUCUGUAAGCCUGCGAAGGUGUCUUGUAAAGGAUGCUGGAGGUAUCAGAAGUGCGAAUGCUGACAUGAGUAGCGAUAAUGGGGGUGAAAAGCCCCCACGCCGUAAGCCCAAGGUUUCCUGUUCAACGUUCAUCGGAGCAGGGUGAGUCGGCCCCUAAGGCGAGGCAGAGAUGCGUAGCUGAUGGGAAGCAGGUUAAUAUUCCUGCACCGUCGUAUGAUGCGAUGGGGGGACGGAUCGCGGAAGGUUGUCUGCCUGUUGGAAUAGGCAGUUUCUGGUUCAUAGAAGGCGCUUAGGCAAAUCCGGGCGCAGGAUUCAAGGGACUGGGACGAGGCAUUUAGGUGCUGAAGCAAUCGGAAGUGGUUCCAAGAAAAGCCUCUAAGCUUCAGUCAUACGAGACCGUACCGCAAACCGACACAGGUGGGCGAGAUGAGUAUUCUAAGGCGCUUGAGAGAACUCGGGAGAAGGAACUCGGCAAAUUGGUACCGUAACUUCGGGAAAAGGUACGCCCUUGUAGCUUGGCUGAUUUACUUCAGUAGGGUGAACGGGUUGCAAUAAACUGGUGGCUGCGACUGUUUAAUAAAAACACAGCACUCUGCAAACACGAAAGUGGACGUAUAGGGUGUGACGCCUGCCCGGUGCUGGAAGAUUAAAUGAUGGGGUGCAAGC